rnacentral:rRNA from 1 species
AGAGUUUGAUCAUGGCUCAGAACGUACGCUGGCGGCACGCCUAACACAUGCAAGUCGAGCGAGGUAGCAAUACCUAGCGGCAGACGGGUGCGUAACAUGUGGGAAUCUGCCUUUUGGUUCGGAAUAACACGGGGAAACCUGUGCUAAUACCGGAUAAGUCCUUACGGAGAAAGUUUUAAUGCCAAAAGAUGAGCCCGCAUUUGAUUAGUUUGUUGGUGAGGUAAUGGCUCACCAAGACUACAAUCAAUAGCUGAUUUGAGAGGAUGAUCAGCCACACUGGGACUGAGAUACGGCCCAGACUCCUACGGGAGGCAGCAGUGGGGAAUCUUGCACAAUGGGCGAAAGCCUGAUGCAGCGAUGCCGCGUGAGUGAAGAAGGCCUUUGGGUUGUAAAGCUCUUUUGUCGGGAAAGAUAAUGACUGUACCCGAAGAAUAAGGUCCGGCUAACUUCGUGCCAGCAGCCGCGGUAAUACGAAGGGACCUAGCGUAGUUCGGAAUUACUGGGCGUAAAGAGUAUGUAGGCGGCUAGAUAAGUUAAUUGUGAAAGCCCAAAGCUUAACUUUGGAAUUGCAAUUAAAACUAUUUAGCUAGAGUAUGAUAGAGGAAAGCAGAAUUUCUAGUGUAGAGGUGAAAUUCGUAGAUAUUAGAAAGAAUACCAAUUGCGAAGGCAGCUUUCUGGAUCAUUACUGACACUGAGGAACGAAAGCAUGGGUAGCGAAGAGGAUUAGAUACCCUCGUAGUCCAUGCCGUAAACGAUGUGUGUUAGACGUUGGAAAUUUAUUUUCAGUGUCGCAGCGAAAGCGAUAAACACACCGCCUGGGGAGUACGACCGCAAGGUUAAAACUCAAAUGAAUUGACGGGGACCCGCACAAGUAGUGGAGCAUGUGGUUUAAUUCGAAGAUACGCGCAGAACCUUACCAACACUUGACAUGUUCGUCGCGACUCUAAGAGAUUAGAGUUUUCGGUUCGGCCGGACGAAACACAGGUGCUGCAUGGCUGUCGUCAGCUCGUGUCGUGAGAUGUUGGGUUAAGUCCCGCAACGAGCGCAACCCUCACUUUUAGUUGCCAUCAUUAAGUUGGGCACUCUGAAAGAACUGCCAGUGAUAAGCUGGAGGAAGGUGGGGAUGACGUCAAGUCCUCAUGGCCCUUACGUGUUGGGCUACACACGUGCUACAAUGGUAUCUACAACAGGAAGCAAGACUGCGAGGUCAAGCAAAUCCUUAAAAGAUACCUCAGUUCGGAUUGCACUCUGCAACUCGAGUGCAUGAAGCUGGAAUUACUAGUAAUCGUGGAUCAGCGUGCCACGGUGAAUGCGUUCCCGGGUCUUGUACACACCGCCCGUCACACCAUGGGAGUUGGUUCUACCUUAAGGCAAGGUUUCAAACCCUUGACCACGGUAUAGUCAGCGACUGGGGUGAAGUCGUAACAAGGUAACCGUA